rfam:Candidatus Levybacteria bacterium RIFCSPLOWO2_01_FTLL_39_10 rifcsplowo2_01_scaffold_362, whole genome shotgun sequence.
GCCGACAUAGCUCAGAGGCAGAGCAAGUGUUUCGUAAACACUAGGCCGUUGGUUCGAUUCCAACUGUCGGCU